rnacentral:rRNA from 1 species
UACGGGGGGGGCAAGCGUUGUUCGGAAUUACUGGGCGUAAAGCGUGCGCAGGCGGUUUUGUAAGUCUGUCGUGAAAGCCCCGGGCUCAACCUGGGAAUUGCGAUGGAGACUGCAAGGCUUGAAUCUGGCAGAGGGGGGUAGAAUUCCACGUGUAGCAGUGAAAUGCGUAGAGAUGUGGAGGAACACCGAUGGCGAAGGCAGCCCCCUGGGUCAAGAUUGACGCUCAUGCACGAAAGCGUGGGGAGCAAACAGG